rnacentral:rRNA from 1 species
UACGUAGGGUGCAAGCGUUAUCCGGAUUUAUUGGGCGUAAAGGGCUCGUAGGCGGUUCGUCGCGUCCGGUGUGAAAGUCCAUCGCUUAACGGUGGAUCCGCGCCGGGUACGGGCGGGCUUGAGUGCGGUAGGGGAGACUGGAAUUCCCGGUGUAACGGUGGAAUGUGUAGAUAUCGGGAAGAACACCAAUGGCGAAGGCAGGUCUCUGGGCCGUUACUGACGCUGAGGAGCGAAAGCGUGGGGAGCGAACAGGA